rnacentral:lncRNA from 10 species
GUUGGCGAGUUGGGCGCUAACUGGUGCGGGCUGGGCACCGCUGGGUGGGGUGCAUGUCCGCUCGCCCGGGUACCCUGCCGCCCCGCCCGGCAACCUCCGCCCGGGACUGCAGCCGAACCUUUGCUGCCUCCCUGGGGAUAUGCAAAUAGUGCUGGGGCCCCGCCGGGCGUUCUGAGCCUGGAGCCCCCGGGGCUGUCACUUCCAGCCCACCUAGGCUCGGCCCCCAGGACCUGCGGACCUACUUUGACCCCGGCGACUCGGUGUUCCCGGCCAUGAAACGGGGCCACAGCCGUGCUGCACGCUCACUGUUCCGCGGGCGGGCCCUGGUUUUCUUCCUCUAGGGGGGCCCUGGCGUUAGGUGUGAACGCCCUCUGCAAACUGUAGGGAGCUGUGCCCGGCCGCCGCCCGUCUGUAGAUCCUGCAAACCGGCGGCUGCAAGUACUCCACAGUGUGAAUGAAUCAGGUUCAGUCUCCUAUGGAUGGACAUUUGGAGUUGUUUUCAAUCUCUGGCUAUUAAAAUAACAUAAUA